ensembl:snoRNA
CCUUUCCAUUCCAAGGGCUGUAGCUUGUUGUGGCCAUGGGAUCUCCCACUGCAUGCAAGAACUUGGAAAGACAUUGACAGCACAGGUCAGCAUAAUACCUGAAGCUGCCACUCACCUUUCCUAUAAUA